rnacentral:rRNA from 2 species
AACGCUGGCGGCGUGCCUAAUACAUGCAAGUCGAACGCACAGCGAAAGGUGCUUGCACCUUUCAAGUGAGUGGCGAACGGGUGAGUAACACGUGGACAACCUGCCUCAAGGCUGGGGAUAACAUUUGGAAACAGAUGCUAAUACCGAAUAAAACUUAGUGUCGCAUGACACAAAGUUAAAAGGCGCUUCGGCGUCACCUAGAGAUGGAUCCGCGGUGCAUUAGUUAGUUGGUGGGGUAAAGGCCUACCAAGACAAUGAUGCAUAGCCGAGUUGAGAGACUGAUCGGCCACAUUGGGACUGAGACACGGCCCAAACUCCUACGGGAGGCUGCAGUAGGGAAUCUUCCACAAUGGGCGAAAGCCUGAUGGAGCAACGCCGCGUGUGUGAUGAAGGCUUUCGGGUCGUAAAGCACUGUUGUAUGGGAAGAACAGCUAGAAUAGGAAAUGAUUUUAGUUUGACGGUACCAUACCAGAAAGGGACGGCUAAAUACGUGCCAGCAGCCGCGGUAAUACGUAUGUCCCGAGCGUUAUCCGGAUUUAUUGGGCGUAAAGCGAGCGCAGACGGUUUAUUAAGUCUGAUGUGAAAGCCCGGAGCUCAACUCCGGAAUGGCAUUGGAAACUGGUUAACUUGAGUGCAGUAGAGGUAAGUGGAACUCCAUGUGUAGCGGUGGAAUGCGUAGAUAUAUGGAAGAACACCAGUGGCGAAGGCGGCUUACUGGACUGCAACUGACGUUGAGGCUCGAAAGUGUGGGUAGCAAACAGGAUUAGAUACCCUGGUAGUCCACACCGUAAACGAUGAACACUAGGUGUUAGGAGGUUUCCGCCUCUUAGUGCCGAAGCUAACGCAUUAAGUGUUCCGCCUGGGGAGUACGACCGCAAGGUUGAAACUCAAAGGAAUUGACGGGGACCCGCACAAGCGGUGGAGCAUGUGGUUUAAUUCGAAGCAACGCGAAGAACCUUACCAGGUCUUGACAUCCUUUGAAGCUUUUAGAGAUAGAAGUGUUCUCUUCGGAGACAAAGUGACAGGUGGUGCAUGGUCGUCGUCAGCUCGUGUCGUGAGAUGUUGGGUUAAGUCCCGCAACGAGCGCAACCCUUAUUGUUAGUUGCCAGCAUUCAGAUGGGCACUCUAGCGAGACUGCCGGUGACAAACCGGAGGAAGGCGGGGACGACGUCAGAUCAUCAUGCCCCUUAUGACCUGGGCUACACACGUGCUACAAUGGCGUAUACAACGAGUUGCCAACCCGCGAGGGUGAGCUAAUCUCUUAAAGUACGUCUCAGUUCGGAUUGUAGUCUGCAACUCGACUACAUGAAGUCGGAAUCGCUAGUAAUCGCGGAUCAGCACGCCGCGGUGAAUACGUUCCCGGGUCUUGUACACACCGCCCGUCACACCAUGGGAGUUUGUAAUGCCCAAAGCCGGUGGCCUAACCUUUUAGGAAGGAGCCGUCUAAGGCAGGACAGAUGACUGGGGUGA